AGUGAACGCUGGCGGCAUGCCUAACACAUGCAAGUCGAACGGUAACAGGCCCGCAAGGGUGCUGACGAGUGGCGGACGGGUGAGGAAUACAUCGGAAUCUGCCCGGUUGUGGGGGAUAACGUAGGGAAACUUACGCUAAUACCGCAUACGACCGAAAGGUGAAAGCGUGGGAUCCGCAAGGACCUCGCGCAGCCGGAUGAGCCGAUGUCGGAUUAGCUAGUUGGCGGGGUAAAGGCCCACCAAGGCGACGAUCCGUAGCUGGUCUGAGAGGAUGAUCAGCCACACUGGGACUGAGACACGGCCCAGACUCCUACGGGAGGCAGCAGUGGGGAAUAUUGGACAAUGGGGGCAACCCUGAUCCAGCAAUGCCGCGUGUGUGAAGAAGGCCUUCGGGUUGUAAAGCACUUUUAUCCGGAACGAAACGCGCAGGGCGAAUAGCUUUGCGGACUGACGGUACCGGAGGAAUAAGCACCGGCUAACUUCGUGCCAGCAGCCGCGGU
rnacentral:rRNA from 1 species